GCCUCCAGGCCUCUACCUCACCCCAGACUUUCGCAGAAACAGCCAAGACCUAGGUCCCAUCCUGCCUGAGCCAUGAGGGAAGAGACCCAUUAAGAGAAGAUGUGACAGGCCAGGUGGGUCAGGAGCACUUAGCCAAGUGGAAACCAGCCUGCCCAGGGAGCCCGCUUUGAUUCCAUCUGCCUGAGAGACACUGGAAAGAAAUAACUAUGACGUAACUACUGGGCCGUGCAGCAGCCACAGGGAAAGCUUCAGGAGGAGCAACUGCUCAUGCAUUGGAGCCGGGCAUGUCCCUGCAGGUAUGGCAAAGAGGACAAGAGAUCUGAUAUCAUCACCACUCUUAUCUCGAUAUAAAGACCGGCUGACAGGCACUCUAACCCGGGAGACUCUGUUGCAGCCAGCCUGAGCCAUGCCUGCCUGCUGCCGCAUCCUGGCGUUCCGGGCAGCUGUCUGCCUCCUCUCACUGCUCUGCACACGUGCAGUCCCAGGGCCAACUGAUGAACCCCCAGGCCAUGGCACUGGAGGACUCCCGGAUUCUGCCACCUGGAUGAGCAUGGAGAGUCAGCCUUGGACCCCUAAGAGGCGAGAUGUGGAGUGGAGUGAGAUGCAGUGUGGCUUUCCUGCUGAGUCCCCUGUGUCCCUAGCCCGCCUCUGCCCUGAGUGAGGACUGAUCCUCUUUCCACAAGAGCAUGCCAGUCUUCUCUAACUGAGGUUUCCCUCAGGGCAAUUGCCAUGACUCCUGUGGCUCACAGCAGGCGGGUACCGGAUCCUCGGUGACCCCGAGACCCUUCUUCAAGGCAUGACAUUGCCUCAUAUCCCUUUCAUCCCUGGGAGGGCUUUAUUCCACUUGAACAGUUUGUGUGUGAAGUGCCACCGGCCAUGAACAGCCAUGCUGGUCCCCUUUUCUCUGUCAUCCUGUGACAGCAAGGCACAUCCAGUUUUUUCUUCAAGUGUGCGUAUGUCAGAAAACCUCCUUCGUCUCCUGUGGCCUGAAUAAAAGUCCUCCUCAAUGCCGGGCUCCAUUUUCUUGUGGGGACCUCACUGCGCUGAGGGACAGGGAGGGGGACAGGCAGGGAGGAGCUGCAGUCCACCCGUGGGCUCAAGCAG
rnacentral:lncRNA from 1 species